AAACCCGAAUUAAGCCUUGUACAAGUCAGAGGCGAUAUAGUUGGACUCGGUUCUGUAAUUCUGUUGCCUAAAACCCUAAACCCUAAACCCUAAACCUUGCCGCCGUGAAACCCAAACUUCCUUCUCCUUCGAAUCAUUUUUCACAUCAUCAUUUCCGUUCUGUUCAAUAAUUCAAUAAUGGCUUCAGCUUGCAACAGAUUCGUGAGCAGAACAUCCCUAUCGUCCAUCAAAUCCGCCAUCAGAUCCAACGUCCGUACGUCUCCAAGCUUCACCAAAUCCGCCACUUCCGCCUCCACUUCCAUUCCUCUUCGCCGAUUCUCACUCUCCCGAAUUCCAGUGGAAUUAGGAGGCGUACAGUCACUGUUGCCACUUCACAGUACGGUGGCGACGGCGAGAAUGACGUCGUGCCUGAGCACAACAUCGAGGAGUUGCCGAGCGCUUUCACAGGGUACACUCUGCUGCACCUCUCCAGGCCUCUAAUAUAACAAAUUUUUUCCCUUUCUUUUUAACUGCACAUAACUUGACUGUGGUUGAAAGAAAUAAAUUGGGAAUUUGCAGGACCUGCCAAUAAUCAAAUGGAAUUGAUGGUACGUGAGACGUGUGUGCCGUAUUUGGAGAGCUUGGUCAGUCGGUUCCAAGGUGACUAUAUAGCAGUCCACCACAACGAGAGCUUGUCUACACAGGAAUGGAAAAUCUUUCAGCAAGAUUUUGUAGUUUUUGUUUUCAAGGUUCAGUUAUUUUAAAGGAUACUGCUUGAGCCUUAAAGCGGUGAAACUGAAUUUGAUUCUUCCCAGCACAGAGAUAUUUGUUCUGUAGCUAUUCAUUAUGUUUAAUUGUCAAGUCUGUAUCUCCAGAUGACACACCCUUGCUUUCCCUGUCUGCAUCAUUUUGUAUUCUUCUGUCCUGGUUCUUGCUUUUUACUUGCAAACUUGUUGCAAUUCCUUUGGAUCCCCAAAGCCAAGAAAUACGGUCCUAAGCCAGCGUGAUGAUAUUUGAUGUUAAUGUAAGUGAACUUCUAUUGUUCCCA